ensembl:lncRNA
UUACGGGAAAAUACUAAUACCUGAAGACGGCGGGAAAGAGGGGUAAAAUAUGGUAGUUUUCAAGCCAAAACGGGUAUUCACACAUACACUUACAAAAAAAUAAAUUAACAAAAGGGCACUUUGGGCAGUAAGAGCCCAAGUAAGGGGCAGAUGCUCCAGCCCACUCCGACCCCCAACCCACCCCACCUGCACGUGCCUGGGAAAGAGAGAGAAUGGAGGAAAUGUAAAUAACAGAGAAAAAGAGAGCAAACAGAGACAGAAUAAAGAGGAAGGAUGAAAGAGAGGAAGAAAGAGAAAAAAGGAGAGCUGUGUGCGGACCAGCAUUAUACUGCCGAAAAUGCCAGUUGCCAUGAGAGGAAACAUAUGAUGUUCCAGAUGGCUGUCUUUCCUCCCUCCAUUGAACACUGUGGACUCAGUAGGGUAUUGGUUUGUAAUCCUGGCCAUGACAUCUCAAGAGAAGCAGGUAAAGAACGUGACAGAGAGUCUAUUUCUGUAUUUCUCUGAUGACUGUCAGUCUCCCUGUACUGAUGCUCUUUUAUUUCCAAGGCUUCUUCUCUUCACCUGAACACUGUAGACUCAGUAGGGUAUCGGUUCAUAAUCCUGACACUGACAGCAAAUAGAGAAAAUAACAGAAGGUCUAUUUCAGCAGUUCCCAAUGACUAUCUUACUCUCCUUGACUUUACUUUUUUGACCAUGGCUCCCCCCUUCAUUGAACACUGUAGACUCAGUAGGGUAUUGAUUUGCAAUCCUAGCCAUGACAUGUCAAGAGAAGCUGGUGAUAAAAGUGACAUAGAAUCUAUUUCUGCAGCUCCCAAUGACUAUCUUUUUCUUCUUGACUUGACUUUUUUGACCAUGGCUACCCUCUCCAUUGAACACUGUAGACUCAGUAUGGUAUUGGUUCGCAAUUCUGGCCAUGAUAUGUGAAGAUAAGCAGUUUGACUCUGUCUUGCAGAUUCCCUCAAUUCCCACAGAAGACAGAUAUCCCAACUUUUGUUUGUAGUGGAACAACCUUCUACUGGGUGUUAGAAAAGCAGAGUCACUCAUGGUCUUCAAACGCUGAGUAAAUAUUUUUAUUCUUAAAUUAAUCUAACACUUUUUUCCUAGGUGUAUAAACAUUCAACAGAGCUUGAAAUAAUCUGAUUCCAGUCCCUACAAGCUAUGGGUAUUUUUAAAGUAAUUAACAAAGCACUUUUAUAUGAUCCAAGCAUCAGUGGUUCGAAUCCCCAUUUGAAACAUGCUUGCAGUCAGCAGCCAGAGUCUGAGAGAGCAUUUUUUUGAGUUUACAUAAACGGAACGAUUAAUGAAACACUUGCAACCUUUGUUUCACAGAAAUCAUGCCGUGGCCUUAAUUGCUACUUCUGAAGUCUUUGAUUGGCUGUUAAAAAAAAUAAUUCAGAGCUUUGUUUACAGAAUGGUUUGCCUCAAACAGUGAUAGAGCAGUACAGCUUCAGUACAGUAUCUUAGCUUGCUCUCUCUCCCUCAUUUUCUCAUAUAUUGUGUCUCGUCCCUCCACAGCCCCUUUUUAUUCCAUUAUUCUUCUUUAUCACCUUCUCUUCAGCCCAGGAGAGGCACCAAGGUGCGGAAAAGUCAUUUUCCUCCCGUUUUAUUAAAAAGCGGGAAGCAGAAAAUGUAUUUUUAGACAAUAUUAAAUAUUGAUUCGUCAUAUGUAUUAAUAAUACAUUUGUAAUAUCUUGUGAUGACAGCACUCUUAUGUGAAAAAUGGUUGACUAACUUGGGUGAUUUCGGAGGAUCCGCCAUCAGCCACUGAAGUCAACACCACUGCAUUCAACCAGCACUGUAAUUUCCAGUGUUUUAACAUAUAUUAACGUAUAUUUCAGUGAUGAUGUUAAGCUGAUCUGAGGAGAUGAAUGGGAUGGGUGAUGGUAUAAUCAGGGAUGCCCCAAACUGUCCCAUUUAGAUCUUUUUUACAGAGGCUUCCAGAGAGAGAGAUUAGAGCUCAGAGAAGAAUGAAAGAAUUGUAUAAAUAGCUUUAGAGACUAUAAAUAUGAGGAUGGAGAAGUGUGUGUGUGUGUGUGUGUGUGUGUGCACGCACGUGUGCGUGUGUGUGUAAAGGCACUCGGAUGUCUUUGUCUCGGUUGAACGGUGCCAGAGGGAGAACUCAGAGGCAAGCGUUUCUGGAGAGAGCUCAAACAAUCUGCACCCAGUCAUGGAUCAAACCGAGAGAACCGGAAAGAGAGAGAGAGAGAGAAGAGAGAAAGAGAGAGGGAUGAAUAUAGAGUAAGAGGCUGAGAGGGGGGUUGAGUGUGAAAGGGAUGGAGAGAUGCAGAAGAGAGAGAGAUGGAUAUAGAGUAAGAGGCUGAGAGGGGGGGUGAGUGUGAAAGGGAUGGAGAGAUGCAGAAGAGAGAGAGAUGGAUAUAGAGUACAAGGCUGAGAAGGAGCUGCAUAGCAUGGAAGAGAGAGAGAAAGAGAGAUGGUUAGAGUAAGAUGGUGAAAAGGAGAUGUAUAGCAUGGGGAGAAAAAGAGAGAGAAAGAGAGAGAGAGAUGGAUGGAAAGAGUAAGGAGAUGAGAGGAAGAUGCAUAGCAUGGAAGAGAGAGAGAGAAAGAGAGAUGGUUAGAGUAAGAUGGUGAAAGGGAGAUGUAUAGCAUGGGGAGAAAGAGAGAGAGAGAGAGAGAGAGAUGGAUGGAAAGAGUAAGGAGAUGAGAGGAAGAUGCAUAGCAUGGGAAAGAGAGAGAGAAAUGUAGACAAAGUGAAAGAGAAAGAGAGAGACAGAGAGAAUGAUAGAGUAAGAGGAUUAGAGAGAGAUGUAGAAAGAGAGAGAUUUAGAGAGAGAGACAGAGAAUGAUAGAGUAAGAUGUUGAGAGUGAGGUGCAUAGCAUCGAAGAGAAGAAGUGAAAAAGAAGAAGAAAGAAAGAGAGAGUGAGAGAGAGAGAGACGGAGACGUAAGAGGGAGGUGGACGAGUGGAGAGAGAGAGAGCGAGAUGAAUAAAAUGUGUAUGAAAUAGAGAGUUAAGGAGAGA